rnacentral:rRNA from 1 species
GACGAACGCUGGCGGCGUGCCUAAUACAUGCAAGUAGAACGCUGAAGGAGGAGCUUGCUCUUCUGGAUGAGUUGCGAACGGGUGAGUAACGCGUAGGUAACCUGCCUGGUAGCGGGGGAUAACUAUUGGAAACGAUAGCUAAUACCGCAUAAGAGUAGAUGUUGCAUGACAUUUGCUUAAAAGGUGCAAUUGCAUCACUACCAGAUGGACCUGCGUUGUAUUAGCUAGUUGGUGGGGUAACGGCUCACCAAGGCGACGAUACAUAGCCGACCUGAGAGGGGGAACGGCCACACUGGGACUGAGACACGGCCCAGACUCCUACGGGAGGCAGCAGUAGGGAAUCUUCGGCAAUGGACGGAAGUCUGACCGAGCAACGCCGGGUGAGUGAAGAAGGGUUUCGGAUCGUAAAGCUCUGUUGUAAGGGAAGAACGAGUGUGAGAGUGGAAAGUUCACACUGUGACGGUAUCUUACCAGAAAGGGACGGCUAACUACGUG